UACGUAGGUGGCAAGCGUUGUCCGGAUUUACUGGGUGUAAAGGGCGUGUAGCCGGGAGUGCAAGUCAGAUGUGAAAUCUAUGGGCUCAACCCAUAAAUUGCAUUUGAAACUGUGCUUCUUGAGUACUGGAGAGGCAGACGGAAUUCCUAGUGUAGCGGUGAAAUGCGUAGAUAUUAGGAGGAACACCAGUGGCGAAGGCGGUCUGCUGGACAGCAACUGACGGUGAGGCGCGAAAGCGUGGGGAGCAAACAGG
rnacentral:rRNA from 1 species